UCGACAGCCACCCCAGG
rnacentral:rRNA from 1 species